rnacentral:rRNA from 1 species
AGCGAACGCUGGCGGCAGGCCUAACACAUGCAAGUCGAACGAAGUCUUCGGACUUAGUGGCGGACGGGUGAGUAACACGUGGGAACGUGCCCUUUGGUACGGAAUAACUCAGGGAAACUUGAGCUAAUACCGUAUGUGCCCUUCGGGGGAAAGAUUUAUCGCCAUUGGAGCGGCCCGCGUCUGAUUAGCUAGUUGGUGAGGUAAAGGCUCACCAAGGCGACGAUCGGUAGCUGGUCUGAGAGGAUGAUCAGCCACAUUGGGACUGAGACACGGCCCAAACUCCUACGGGAGGCAGCAGUGGGGAAUCUUGCGCAAUGGGCGAAAGCCUGACGCAGCCAUGCCGCGUGAAUGAUGAAGGUCUUAGGAUUGUAAAAUUCUUUCACCGGGGACGAUAAUGACGGUACCCGGAGAAGAAGCCCCGGCUAACUUCGUGCCAGCCGCCGCUGUAAGAC